CCUACGGGUGGCAGCAGUGGGGAAUAUUGCACAAUGGGGGAAACCCUGAUGCAGCAACGUCGCGUGAAGGAAGACGGCUGUCGGAUUGUACACUUCUGUUCUUCGUGAAGAAUAAUGACGGUAGCUAAGGAGCAAGCCACGGCUCACUACGUGCAAGCAGCCGCGGUAACACGUAGGGUGCAAGCGUUGUACGGAAUUACUGGGUGUAAGGGAGCGCAGGCGGGAAGCCAAGUCGGCUGUGAAAACUACGGGCUUAACUUGUGGACUGCAGUUGAAACUGAUUUUCUUGAGUGAUGUAGAGGUUGGCGGAAUUCCGGGUGUAGCGGUGAAAUGCGUAGAUAUUCGGAGGAACACCGGUGGCGAAGGCAGCCAACUGGGCUUUAACUGACGCUGAGGCUCGAAAGUGUGGGUAGCGAACAGGAUUAGAUACCCCUGUAGUC
rnacentral:rRNA from 1 species